UAGGGAAUCUUCCACAAUGGACGCAAGUCUGAUGGAGCAACGCCGCGUGAGUGAAGAAGGUUUUCGGAUCGUAAAGCUCUGUUGUUGGUGAAGAAGGAUAGAGGUAGUAACUGGCCUUUAUUUGACGGUAAUCAACCAGAAAGUCACGGCUAACUACGUGCCAGCAGCCGCGGUAAUACGUAGGUGGCAAGCGUUGUCCGGAUUUAUUGGGCGUAAAGCGAGCGCAGGCGGAAGAAUAAGUCUGAUGUGAAAGCCCUCGGCUUAACCGAGGAACUGCAUCGGAAACUGUUUUUCUUGCGUGCAGAAGAGGAGAGUGGAAUUCCCUGUGUAGCGGAGGAAUGCGUAGAUAUAUGGAAGAACACCAGUGGCGAAGGCGACUCUCUGGUCUGCAACUGACGCUGAGGCUCGAAAGCAUGGGUAGCGAACAGG
rnacentral:rRNA from 1 species